UACGGGGGGGGCAAGCGUUAAUCGGAAUUACUGGGCGUAAAGCGUGCGCAGGCGGUUCGGAAAGAAAGAUGUGAAAUCCCAGGGCUUAACCUUGGAACUGCAUUUUUAACUGCCGGGCUAGAGUAUGUCAGAGGGGGGUAGAAUUCCACGUGUAGCAGUGAAAUGCGUAGAGAUGUGGAGGAAUACCGAUGGCGAAGGCAGCCCCCUGGGAUAAUACUGACGCUCAUGCACGAAAGCGUGGGGAGCAAACAGG
rnacentral:rRNA from 1 species